rnacentral:lncRNA from 1 species
CCCACGCUUACCAAGGAUCUGAUCUUGGUAAAAUAAAACCAAAAAACAGAGUUAGACAUAGAUUACCAAAAUCAGAAAUGAAAAUGAGAGCAUCACUGCUGACCAUAAAGAAGAAAAUUGAAGGAAAUAUGAAGAGCAACUUCAUGCAAAGGAAUUAAACAAUUAAGGUGAAGUGAAUAAAUUCCUAGAAAGGCAUAAAUUACUGAAACUAACUUAACAAGAAAUAGGAAAUCUGAAUAGACCUAUACCAAGUAAAUAGAUUGAAUUUAUAAUUUAAACUCUUCUGACAAAAGCCAAAGCCCACAUGACCUUACCGAUGAAUUGUAUUCAAUAUUUAAACAAGAAAUAAAAUAAAAAUUACAAAUAUUCCUCAUGAACACAGACUCAGAAUUUUUAACAAAAUAUUAGCAAACCAAAUUUAGUAAUAUACAGAAAAAAUAUACACCAUGAUCAAGAGAGGUUUAUCCAGGCCAGGUGCAGUGGCUCAUGCUUCUGAUCCCAGCACUUUGGGAGGCCGAGGCAGGUGGAUCACGAGGUCAGGAGAUCGAGACCAUCCUGGCCAACAUGGUGAAAUCCCGUCUCUACUCA